rnacentral:rRNA from 1 species
CACGCUGUAAACUGUGCAUACUAGGUGUGGGGGGUAUCGACCCCCUCCGUGCCGCAGUCAACACAUUAAGUAUGCCGCCUGGGGAGUACGGCCGCAAGGUUGAAACUCAAAGGAAUUGACGGGGGCCCGCACAAGCGGUGGAGGAUGUUGUUUAAUUCGACGCAACGCGAAGAACCUUACCUGGGCUUGAACUGCUGGUUAAACUCCUGGAAACAGGGGCUGUGGCAACACGAACCAGUAGAGGUGC